GUACUACUUCCUUCGUCCGAAAAUACUUGUUAUCAAAAUGGAUAAAAAAAGAUGUAUCUAGAACUAAAAUACGUCUAGAUGCAUCCAAUUUUAUUUAUUUUGAUGACAAGUAUUUACGAACGGAGGGAGUAUAUC
rfam:Triticum aestivum genome assembly, contig: Triticum_aestivum_CS42_TGACv1_scaffold_225503_3B